rnacentral:rRNA from 1 species
UGCGCAGGCGGUUGUGUAAGACAGGUGUGAAAUCCCCGGGCUUAACCUGGGAAUUGCAUUUGUGACUGCACGACUAGAGUGUGUCAGAGGGGGGUGGAAUUCCACGUGUAGCAGUGAAAUGCGUAGAUAUGUGGAGGAACACCAAUGGCGAAGGCAGCCCCCUGGGAUAACACUGACGCUCAUGCACGAAGCGUGGGGAGCAAACA